rnacentral:rRNA from 1 species
AGGGUGUAAACGCUGCAGACUUGGUGUUGGAAGUCCUUUGGGGGCAUUCAGUGCCGGAGAGAAGUUGUUAAGUCUGCUACUUGGGAGUACGUCCGCAAGGAUGAAACUUAAAGGAAUUGGCCGGGGGAGCACCGCAACGGGAGGAGCGUGCGGUUUAAUUGGAUUCAACACCGUAAACUCACCAGGGAAGACUGUUACAUGAAAGCCGAGAUGAAGACUCUGCUAGAUUUCAGAGAGGAGGUGCAUGGCGUCAGUGACU